CCUAAGUUCCACCUAUUUAGAACCAUCUGAAGUUCUUCAAAUAUGCCAGAUGAUUAUGGAGUAUUUUGUUCCUGCUCCAGAAAUGCUUUUGUUACCUCUUCUCACCAACCUGAUGUUUAUGGUUGCCUAGUCAACACCCACCUCUGCUUCUCCUACCCCAGAGAUUGGUAACUGCAAAGACUUCCAUCAAAGAACAUGUAUGACUUUAUUAAAAUGUUGGGUGGAUAGAUCUCUUUCCCAACCCCUAAAAGGAGGUAGCAACUGCCUCAUCUUUUCCAUCUAUGGAGUGUGGAAUAUGUGCCCUACUUCAUUCAGGAAUGUUGGACAAACCGGCUAUUUAGAGAGUGAAGGGGAGGAACUUCCGAGAGCAACCGGCCCCCAAGAGAAACCCAGGGACUCCUGCCCUUCAGCAGCUUUGUCCGUGUGCUGCUCACACCAAAAAGCACUCGAGGGUGACCUGCACCAAAAAUGCACUGCAGUAGUCUGGGCACAGUGGAUCACGCCUGUAAUCCCAGCUCUUUGGGAGGCCAAGAAAUUCUACAGGUUAUAG
ensembl:lincRNA